AGGACGAACGCUGGCGGCGUGCCUCAUACAUGCAAGUGGAGCGACGAACCAGGAUUUAUCCUGGGGCAAAGCCGCGAACGGGUGAGUAACACGUGGGUUACCUGCCUCAAUGACCGGGACAACCCGAGGAAACUCGGGCUAAUACCGGAUGUGCCCGCAAGGGGAAAGGAAGCUUCGGCCUCCGCAUUGAGAUGGGCCCGCGGCCCAUUAGCUUGUUGGUGAGGUAACGGCUCACCAAGGCUUCGAUGGGUAGCUGGUCUGAGAGGACGAUCAGCCACACUGGGACUGAGACACGGCCCAGACUCCUACGGGAGGCAGCAGUGGGGAAUCUUGCGCAAUGCGCGAAAGCGUGACGCAGCAACGCCGCGUGGGGGAAGAAGGCUUUCGGGUUGUAAACCCCUUUCAGUUGGGACGAAGCUUCGGCGGUUAAUAGCUGUCUGGAGUGACGGUACCUUCACAAGAAGCACCGGCUAACUACGCGCCAGCAGCCGCGGU
rnacentral:rRNA from 1 species